rnacentral:rRNA from 1 species
GACGAACGCUGGCGGCGUGCCUAAUACAUGCAAGUCGAACGCAGUGGGGACGGGUGAGUAACACGUGGGUAACCUCCCAUCAGAGGGGAUAACACUUGGAAACAGGUGCUAAACCGAUACUGAUGGAUGAACCCGCGGUGCAUUAGCUAGGUGGUGAGGUAACGGCUCACCAAGGCCACGAUGCAUAGGCCAACGGAGAGGGGUAUCGGCCAAACUGGGACUUAGAAACGGCCCAGACUCCUACGGGAGGCAGCAGUAGGGAAUCUUCGGCAAUGGACGAAAGUCUGACCGAGCAACGCCGCGUGAGGGAAGAAGGUUUUCGGAUUGUAAAAAUCCGUUGUUAGAGAAGCGGGAUCUAACCAGAAAGCCACGGCUAACUACGUGCCAGCAGCCGCGGUAAUUC